rnacentral:rRNA from 1 species
UGCGUAGGCGGGUUUCUAAGUCAGAGGUGAAAGCCUGGAGCUCAACUCCAGAACUGCCUUUGAUACUGGAAGUCUUGAGUAUGGCAGAGGUGAGUGGAACUGCGAGUGUAGAGGUGAAAUUCGUAGAUAUUCGCAAGAACACCAGUGGCGAAGGCGGCUUACUGGACGGUAACUGACGUUGAGGCUGAAAGCUGGGGAGCAAACA